GACGAACGCUGGCGGCGUGCUUAACACAUGCAAGUCGAACGGAGUGGCGAACGGGUGAGUAACACGUGGGUGACCUGCCCUGCACUUCGGGAUAAGCCUGGGAAACUGGGUCUAAUACCGGAUAGUGUGGGAUGGGGCCGCGGCCUAUCAGAUGGUUGGUGGGGUAAUGGCCUAACACGGCGGCGACGGGGAGCCGGCCUGAGAGGGUGGACGGCCACAUUGGUGCUGAGACGCGGGCCAGACUCAUACGGGAGGCAGCAGUGGGGAAUAUUGCGCGAUGGGCGGAAGGCUGAUGCAGCGACGCCGCGUGGGGGAUGACGGCCUUCGGGUUGUAAACUCCUUUCACCAUCGACGCGGGAGAUGGAGAAGAAGCAACGGCUAACUACGUGCCAGCAGCCGCGGUAAUUC
rnacentral:rRNA from 1 species